GUCACUUUGCCGGAGAGGUUAACGGGAUCGCCUGCUAGUUUUCGCACAGGAUUUCUCAGUCAGCGGUUGGGCUUUGCCCGCGUGUGUUCGAAUCGCACAGGUGACG